rnacentral:rRNA from 1 species
GACAGAGGUGCCGAGCGUUAGGCGGAAUCACUGGGCUUAAAGCGUGUGUAGGCGGACUUCUAAGUACCUUGUGAAAUCCCACGGCUCAACCGUGGAACUGCUUGGUAUACUGGUUGUCUUGAGCCACUUAGGGGCAGUCGGAACAGACGGUGGAGCGGUGAAAUGCGUAGAUAUCAGGAGGAACACCGAUGGCGAAGGCAGGUCUCUGGGCUGACACUGACGCUCAUGCACGAAAGCGUGGGGAGCAAACAGG